UACGUAGGGGGCAAGCGUUGUCCGGAUUUAUUGGGCGUAAAGAGCGUGUAGGCGGCUUGGUAGGUCCGCUGUGAAAACUCGAGGCUCAACCUCGAGAUGUCGGCGGAAACCACUUGGCUAGAGUCCGGAAGAGGAGAGUGGAAUUCCCCGGUGUAGCGGUGAAAUGCGCAGAUAUCGGGAAGAACACCUAUGGCGAAGGCAGCUCUCUGGGACGGUACUGACGCUGAGACGGCGAAAAGCGUGGGGAGCGAACAGG
rnacentral:rRNA from 1 species